UACGGAGGAUCCGAGCGUUAUCCGGAUUUAUUGGGUUUAAAGGGUGCGUAGGCGGGAGAUUAAGUCGGUGGUGGAAUUUUGCAGCUCAACUGUAAAAGUGCCAUUGAUACUGGUUUCCUUGAGUGUGGAUGAAGUAGGCGGAAUUUGUGGUGUAGCGGUGAAAUGCAUAGAUAUCACGAGGAACUCCGAUUGCGCAGGCAGCUUACUAAACCAUAACUGACGCUCAGGCACGAAGGCGUGGGGAUCAAACAGGAUUAGAUACCCCCGUAGU
rnacentral:rRNA from 1 species